GACUGCGUAGCUCAGUUGGAAGAGCAUUGGGCUAGUAUAUAUUCCAAAGGUCGUAGGUUCGAUUCCCACCGUGGCCG